rnacentral:misc_RNA from 1 species
GAUGAAGAACGUAGCGAAAUGCGAUACUUGGUGUGAAUUGCAGAAUCCCGUGAACCAUCGAGUCUUUGAACGCAAGUUGCGCCCGAAGCCAUCAGGUUGAGGGCACGUCUGCCUGGGCGUCACAUAUCGUUGCCCAAUGCCUAUUGCAGUGCAAUAGGAAUUUAGGGCGAAUGAUGGCUUCCCGUGAGCGUUGUUGCCUCGCGGUUGGUUGAAAAUCGAGUCCUUGGUAGGGUGUGCCAUGGUAGAUGGUGGUCGAGUUAGAACGAUACCGAUCAUGUGCAUGCUCCCCAAAAUAUGGCCUCUAUGACCCACACGCGUCUUUUGACGCUCAUGACGAGACCUCAGGUCAGGCGGGGCUACCCGCUGAAUUUAAGCAUAUCAAUAAGCGGAGGA